UUUACGAUUCCCAAUCAUUUUCUCGAGGUGACCAGGUUGGCGAAUCCAACCUGUAAAUUCAUGGAUUGCCGCUAACACUAUCUCUUCACGACGCUUGUCGACGACCUCAUCAUCCGAAGACUCAUCAUCUGAAGACACUAUAUCAUCAUCAUCGAAUAUGUCGUCAUCAAAAAACACUAUCUGAGCAUGCACUUCGACUGUUUGACGUUUGCCGUCACCAAAACGCCUUGAUUUAAUGCGAUUUUCUACACCUCUAGCUGACUGCUUGCCAUUCUUGACCACAUAUACUACUGGAUAGUCAUUCUGUUCCAAAAGCAAUCGAAAAAAAUCUGUAUCACUUUUCAAGGCAACUUUUGUUCUCUUACCAUCGCUCAUGCUCAUCAGAUAUUGAAACAAAUAAUCAGAGGCACUUUUAUCACAAUCCAAUUGCUCGUUAAUCUCUCGUACUAGAUUAUCAUAAGAUAACAAACUCCACCCACAUGCAUAUAUAAAAGAACCUCGUCCCCACCUAUGUAAUUAGAUCUCUUUUAAUGACCACCAUGAUGAAUUGCUACACGUCGCGACAACAUAUCUGCAAAAGAAUCACGUAAUAAAUUAGUAAAUGAGUUCAAUUGUUGAUAAUUGACUGUGUAUAGAAAACUGGACUGUGCAUACCAUUUUCAACUAUGCACAAUAAUUAA
rnacentral:lncRNA from 1 species